GUGAGAGCUGCAGACAGAUCGGUCAGGAGGAGUGAUGGUUUGAGUGAAAAACAGAAACCUGGAACAGUGCAUGACGCCAUCAAUCAGAAUGAAUGUUUGCAUAUGUCAUCUUUAUUCAAAUACAGUUAUGUUUCCUCUUCUGGACCAGUUCAAAGCAGCUUUUUUUCUCCUUCGGCGUCCACGGCGAGCAGAGCAAUGCAUCAUGCAGGACUUGGCAUCCUGUCACCCUGCUGAAGAAACCAAAGGCUGCUUCAAUCCCUGUGGUGUGACUGUGCUUGAUCGUCCUGCAGACUCACCGGACAUGAAACCAACUCUACGGACAGCCUCAUUCUCCUUAAAAAUAAAGUGAACCACUGAACACA